UACGGAGGGAGCUAGCGUUGUUCGGAAUUACUGGGCGUAAAGGGCGCGUAGGCGGCCUGCUAAGUCGAACGUGAAAUCCCCGGGCUCAACCCGGGAACUGCGUCCGAUACUGGCAGGCUUGAAUUCGGGAGAGGGAUGCGGAAUUCCAGGUGUAGCGGUGAAAUGCGUAGAUAUCUGGAGGAACACCGGUGGCGAAGGCGGCAUCCUGGACCGAAAUUGACGCUGAGGCGCGAAAGCCAGGGGAGCAAACGGG
rnacentral:rRNA from 1 species